GCUCCAUCGAUCCCAUCUAUCGUUGCCGCCGCCGCCGCCGUCCGAGAGGGAGACGCCGCCCCCGCCACCGCCGUCCGAGAGGGAGACGCCGCCCCCGCCGCCGAACUCCGGGAAACGCCGCCGCCAAGUCUCCAGGGCAGGGCGGUUUCAAUCCCUGCCGCCGAACUCCGGGAGACGCCGUCGUUGCGGCACAGGGUAGAUUUCGCGUCUCCACGUGGUCGCACGCACGCCUGCACCUCCACUUCCCCCCUCGAUCUCGAUCGGAUCUUUCUCUCCACAAAAAUCGCCACCGCCGGCCUCCUUCGCUCGACUCGGCCAUGGUGAAGCUACACCUCCCCCAAUUCCUCCCGUCGUCAUCGUCAUCCUCCGUGUGACCCCGCCAGAUUCCACGAUUUGGGGGAUUCCCUAUGAGGAGCCGGCGCGUCGUCCUCAUCGCAGGCGGUGGCGGGUGUUGGCAUGUGCGCGUACGGAGGAGCUCCACCUCACCCACUUCAGCUUCCUCCCGUCGUCAUCAUCGUCCUCCGCGCGACCACGCCAGCUUCCAUGGUUUGGGGGAGCCUUCCCUAUGAGGAUCCAGCGUGUCGUCCUCGUCGCACCCUAAUUAGGUUCCUGGUGUGUCCGCACCGCCGCACCCUAAUUUGAUUUCGACUGGAGUCUAGGACGUCAGCGCCACCAGGUCCUUAGCACUGCCUUCCAGGUGAUAAUAAACGCCGUUCACCACAAGAAGAGGUGAGAGGCAGAUUCCAGAUAAGGGAGCAAACUGCGUAGCAAGAUCAAUAAUGAAUGGUUCAAGUCAUGUGUUACAAGUUACAAUGAGCAGGUGGUACUCAAGUCCGUUGAUGAUAAGGAUAUUAUUCGAACAUUUACUGCAAUGAGGUCUCGGAAAGGGCAUUUGCCUCGUGAUUGUCUUUAGUGCGCUGUCGGUAUUCGUUCGAGGAAGAUUUUGGAGCAGCAACAUACAAGCAGAGCUAAGAUUGGUCCAGCCACUUCAUUUAUUUUCUGAAAAGGAAUUGAUGAAUGAGAGUAUAUUUUGAGAGAUCCAUCUAUAUGGUACGUUCAAUGCUGAUUUGAUAAUUUUGCGCAUGUCUCGUGCAGGCAUGCCAGCGCCUUCGUCGACCUCCACUCGCCAAUCUGUAACGCCUAUGCCCGUGGUGGCGGGUCACACUCUGAUGCAGCCGUGCACGCCGCCGCUACCAGACGACACCCCCAUCGAGUAAUACACCCCAGUCGAGAUUUUCUAUAUCAUCUCUGCCAAGGCGCAGUUAUCGGAAGAGAUUCAGGCGGCAUUGCUGGCGGCCGAAGGGGUGCUUGUGGAAGCAGGUGGAAUAGUCGGCAGCUGUGGGGAUUCGUUAUUCUCCGAGGUUGGCGGGCUCGACGCCAGGCUCGAUGGGGCUGCGGGAUUGUCAAGCAGGCGGGUGAUUGCUCAACGAUGACUGGAGACGAUCUUCGGUAUUACAACUGCUUUAUACCAAUGGGUUAUUUGCAUCUCAAGUUAAAUUAGUCACUGUUGAUCAACAAUGAGAUGUGGCCAUUGUUUGAUGGAUCAUUGAUGAUACGGAUGUGCAAUGAAACAAUGAUAUACCCACUGUAUUGGACCCGAACACCUUCCUGAAAAUUGUUCUGAAGGGGUUAGCACAAGGAAACUAUUGUUAUGACUUGCGAGGUCUGCUGGAGGUGACCGGAUCCGGAUGACUUGAGCAAAGCUGUGAAAAUUCACGGCAAGGGAUGGGGGUACAAGGCAUGGGUCUGCGGCGCCACACCUUGCUGUUGCCUGCCGGUGGCCAGCGAGCUGUGGCGGUGCUUCUCUGUUGCAUGGCGAGGGACUGGGGUGCAAGGCGUGCAUCUGCAGUGCCACUCCUGGGGCAUGCCUCUCCCGCGACAUUGCCGGCAUACACAACAUACCUUACUACACGGGGAUUUCCUCUCUGAACUAAAUAUUAUGUCAGAACUGAAUAUUACGUCCGAAGACUGAAACAUCCAGAAAGCUUAUUGAGACUAUUCAUUGAUGGUGUUUCUCUACUACACGAGGAAGUUUCAUGUGCCAAUUAGGCAUGGACGACGACGGCCAUGAUCCCAUCAUCGCAAGCUCACGGGAGGGAGACACACGUCUCAUCCAGUGUAAUAGCACGCUCCAAAAAAUCCCUAACCCUCCAUGGAGCCAUUGCCAGGGUGAUGAGAUCAACACCACCCACCACCACCACCGAGCUGUAGACGGCGUGUCAUGGUGCUCCCUAGCUCUUCCCGCCUCUUAAGAGACCACAUGGCGUUCUGGCAGUUCUGGUGCAGUUUUUGGCCAAGGCUGGAAGCCAAGAACACUUCUUAAUUUUGAUCAUGGACGUGACAUUGUGGUCGGUGUUGUGUGGUGCAGUUCAGAGUUUUCUUGCCUGGCGUAUAACAAUGCAUGUUCAAUGGGGUAGCCUCUUCUCAGGCACGAGUAUCCGAGGCAGACCACGACAUCUAUUUAGAAUAGCUACAACAAAAUUGUGACAGAGAUGGUUAGUGGGAGAAGGAACUUGAGACCACAGUCAAUUCUGCUGUAGGGACUGUGUGUAGAAGAUAGUAGUAGCAAACAUAGAAGUCACUUUGGAAAAAAAGUGUGCAUAUAUUGUUGUACUAGAGAUCCAUUCCUAUAUUUAACUGAUAUGCAUGGUUGAAUUGUAGUAUGUGUGAUACGUGAGAAUAAUGUAAUAUGAAGCGAAAUGUGGUGGACAGGGCUUCACAUUGUUGUUUUUCAGCAGAAUAUGAUGUUCGUCUCUUUUU